GAAAAAGAGGGAGAGAGAACGGGAAUAUUGCUUUAUUCUAAAAAUGGGUUUUAAUAAUGACCGAUCAAUAUUUUGUGUAUUUAAAGUGGAGAAUAUAUAUUUUGUGUACUUAAAAUGGAAAGCUCUAUAAAUAUUUAUUAAGUUUACUUGUUCCGGAUCUUAGUUCAAGUCCUGGUUGUCCUCAUCAAUUUUCUGUCUCGUUGAGUCUAAAUCUCUUUAUAGGUCUUAGGUAUCUGGGUGUUAGGAUCGUUAGCUCUUAUUGUUGCAUUGGUCCUUUUACCACUAUAUCUUUGUUGCUUUGAAAUCUAUUUUAUCAGAUGCGAGAAUUGCAACUCCUGCUAUUUAUUUAUUUAUUUAUUUUUGCUCUCCAUUUCCUUAGUUCAGAGCUGUUCUUAAGGAUGCCUUAGGCGGUGCUGUGUUUUGGGAUAUUUUGAAAGACUCCACAAUCUGGGUUCAGAACUGCAGUCUCACCCAAACUUCUCCAAUAGAAAAGCCUUUGAGAAACCAGGAAUCUGGUGGCCUACAGCUGUGAGCAAAACCACUGCUUCCCAUUGCCAGCUGUGUAAUCCGGCACACUUCAGCGAUGUUAAGAGACUGGCAUCUGGGAGGGUUCAGAUACUUCAAAUAGCACAUGGACAGCAAUACUGGAACUUGACUGGGAGAAGUAAGAGCAUUCAUUUCCAUCAAGAAGAAGCAAUAAGCCUCCUCAUUAAAUGGCCGGGGCCUCUGGCUAAUCUUAACAUUAAGGCGCUUUGUCUACAUCGAGGGGCUCUCCUUCCACCAACUGUCCUCCCACUCCUCACCACGCCCAGACCUUCAUCGUGAAACUCAAGAUCAGACUUGGAUCCAACAGGAAGUGCUGCCUCCUUCAAGAGCUCACAUCUCAGCGGCUCCACUUGAUUAUACCGAGCAUUCUGAUUCCUUAUAUGAGCUUUCUGUGGAGCAAGUCAUAUUUUACACAGCAUGAAAAAGAGCCAUAAGCAUUUAGAUACUCCAAGAGAAUAGAAUACAAUUCCAGAGGAUAAAUGCUUCUUUACAAGCCCAAUUAGUCACUCCUGCCUCUGGUAUUGAGAGAAACUUAAAAUAAAUACCUUUGGGAGAAUUUUAGAGAAGAAAAC
rnacentral:lncRNA from 13 species